rnacentral:rRNA from 1 species
UGACUAUACAAAGGUAUUGUAAUAAGAUUUUAAUUGAAUGCUAAAAGAAUGGAAAUUUAAAAAAAAACUUUUUUAAAAAUAAAAAUUGAAUUUUUUUUAAUUUGUGCAAAAACAAUUAUAUUUAUUAAAGACAAGAAGACCCUAAGAAUUUAAGAUUUUAUAAUUAAAAAGUUUUUUUUUUAAAAUCUUGAUUGGGGCGAUCAAAAAAUAUUAAUAACUUUUUAAAAUUUAAAUUGAUCUAUUAUUAAUAAACUAAUGAAUUAAAUACUCUAGGGAUAACAGCGUAAUAAUUUUUGAUAGAUCUUAUUGACAAAAUAGUUUGCGACCUCGAUGUUGGAUUAGGAUUCUUUUUUAAUGAAGAAGUUAAAAAAAGAAGUUUGUUCAACUUUUAAAUUCCUACUUGAUCUGA